UGCCCUCAUAAAAGAGAUCCUGGAGAGAUCCCUCUCUCGCCCUCUUUCCACCAAGUGAGGAUAUAAGAAGUCAGCCAUCUGGAAACUAGGGAGAGAACCCUCAUGGAACCUGACCAUGCCUGUACCUUAGACUGACCUUAGACUUCCAGCCCCCAGAAUUGAGUUUUUCAAAGCAUUCGUUGGCCUAUCUAGCAGGGACUGAGUGAGAUGGUACAUUGUAUAUUUAUCAAAAGAUGCUUCCAGUUUCACCUUGGCCUGGGCAACUGCAGACAGUCUUCUUGGAUGAUGCUUGUGACUCUUCCCGCAACACCUGAGUGGCCCCUCAUGGUUGGGUACAUGGGUCCCAAAGCUGAGCCUGAAGUCGAUGCUGGGAACUGAGUCACCAAGGGCAUGGAUGCUUCCAUCAAGGCAGACAAGAUUUAAAAACCUAGUUUCAGUGGCACUAAUGAGACCAAUAGCAAACCCAACCUGGGACGUCUUAGGAGACUGGUCACAAUUUCCAUUUCUCUCUCUGCUCGGCGUUUUUGCACAAUCAUGAAGAGUUUGGAGAGCAGGAGGAGGCCUCAAAAAGGACAUCCUGAGCUUCUUGAUAGUGUGUCCGUUGAAGGCCUCAUCACUUAAUUAUAAAGAAAAGUUUUGUUAUUAAUUUGUCUCCUAAGAUUAAAUGGAUCAUAUUUAUCAUUAGGUGCUUUUUAAAAAAUAAAAUUUACUCCUAUUUA